AGAUGAGGCAGAAACCGGAAAUUGAUCAGCAGUUAUCCAGAAGUCGAGGUUUGAGCUUCAAACAAGCCGAUGAAACACAUCAAUUUUUCACAACAACGGAAAAUUUAUCGUUAUCAGAUGGGACAAUUUCUACCUUCUGGCAUGAAAAUUAAAGAUAUUAUUAAUAACCUGUGGGGUAAUCAUUCACGAAUGACAUUGACAAGAGUCACCAAAGUACCGACCUCAACUCCAACAGGAGCUUCCAUCUUCGAUUUUUUUGCUGAUGCUGCUGCUGCUGCACCAGCGAUCUUUUGCCCUUGAGAUCUCGGUGCUCCAAAGCAUCGUUACCGCUGAAUUCCUUGGAUCAAAAUAGAUCGCCUACAUAAUAUGCCCUUCUUGGCGAAAUAUUUCAACGUUUGGACGUUUUUGAAAAUCCAAGCGAAUUGUAAGGAUUAUUGAGUUCAAAUAGAAAAAUAGCGUACAUCAUCUACAAGCAAAUUAUUCUAGACUUCCGAGGACAUUCCCGAGGGGAAAUUGUGGAUGGAACGACGACGCCGAAGUUCUGUUCUGCCGAAUUACAGCAACGAAAACUUGCAGGGCUAUGAUCGACGAGUGUAAUAAAGUCUAAAGGACCACCGACCGCUGACUUAUAUGGGCAUCUUUUUAUAAGGGAGCUUAAUCGAACCGAACUGAGCGCACAUGGAUUUGCCGAAAAAUCAUCAUUCUGAAUUGCAGUAAUGGUAAUACCAUGGAAAUUGUAUUCCAUGAGGGCCGAUUAAACAGCAAAGGCCGUCACAGUAAUAUCCGUGACAGUAACAUACAUUCUAUUCGGCGAUCGCAUAAGAUGUGUAUGUGGUUAUUGCAGUAAAAUCUUGGCGUACGGAGUAUAUACCGCAUACCUAUGUUGCUGCUGCAGCAAUAAACGACCUUGUCGCGAGGACGAAACAAGCUGCACCCGGCCCUUUCUUGGGACACCCUAUAUAUCGGCAGCAAAAUUUUUUUUCAACUUACCUAAAGAAUUCGCCACUCGUCCAGUCGGCUGCGGCAUGUCGGCAAACCUCGAGCUUAUAUAGCGCAUGGGCUGGCGUCAUCGGAGUACAUAAUGUAGAGUAAAAUAUACCCAUGGUGGGGAAUUUCUACAUCCGUCGAAUGAUGAAAUCGAACUUGAAAGACCACUGCGGCGAGCAAUGUCUCGAAGUAUAAGCUGGCGCGGGGUCUAACGAUGCAGUCUGCAGACAGAUAACUCGGCUGAACUGGCUACCCCCAUUGAAACCGGUUUUCUCCUUGAUAUCCUCUAUUUUUCUGAUGGACCAAAGCUGCUGCAGCCAGGCAACCGUAGCGGGCAGUGCCACUAUAAGUUUAUAUACACCGCAGCUACUGCAGACGUUACAGGCACAUCUUUUCAUCCCUGCAGAACCCUGAAGGAUUCACAGCCUCUGCACAACUGUCGCUGACAGGAAUGAGAUUUUUACACAUUUAGGCCCAGGCGAAGAAAGUAGAAGAAGAAGAGGAGGAAAAAGGAGAAGAAGAAGUAGAAGAAACCCCUAUAAAGUUCUUCUUCCACGGUUUCUGAAAAUAUUCUCUCUAAUCUCUGAGGAAGGAAAGUAAGUUUGUUUGAUCCACCUGUUGCUACUCACCCGUUCCCUUUUUAUGGGAUGGGAUUCACUGCGGCCUGCACAUAUGCGCAAACUGUUGUUGUUAUUAUUGUACAGUUUGUGCGCAACCCCAUAGGAUAAGCUAGCCAUACCUGACCCUUCGCAUCUAACUAUAGGUUGUACCCUAUGCUUUAUAGGUAUACAUAUAGGUAUCUACCUGCUUCUACCUGACCGAAAUUACGUCUACUGCAGAAGACUUUUUUCUUCUCCCUCUCCUGCAACUUCUCCCUCUGGAGUCUCCUGAUCGAAACCCUACUCUCCCAAGUCUGACUCCUGAGGUAGGAAUCGAAAGGGAAAAGUCGUCCUUUCAAUCACCGAGCCGCGAGCUGGUUCGUCCAACCACGAGCUUCGCGAUAGACGCGGCUUUGAUCGUGAAUCAAGUUAAAAGAAACUGCAGUGCGGAGGACUUGAGAGUGCAACGAGAUUCGCUGGCAUUCUUUCGACUUCGUUAUAGGGCUCAAUUACAUUUCGAAAUGUAAAAUCUGUCAAAAUUUUAUUCGUGUCUCGAUCCACACGAUUUAUGUAUCUACUCAUCCAGUUCGAAACAACGCAUUGAGCCAUCUUAUCCCGGAGAUAAAUAUUCUCAACAAUUUGCAGUUUGCAAGAAUCGGCUUUACAGGUGUCGGUGAGACGGUGAGUUCAAUCUGAUAUUACAUCGAUGUUCUCUUUUUCUUAUUUUUCUUCUUUUAUUGCAAUGUUUGCACGGUUAUUAAUAACUAUUCUCUAGAUUCCAUAACUGAUAAAUUCUCUGAGAAUAUCUGAGUUUACCCGUUAUUUUUCAAUUAUUUCACAUAAAUUAUACCUACAGUUGAAUUCUAUGAAUUAUUUAAUUCUUCAUUUCCAAUCGUACGUUCAUUUUGAUUAAUAUAUGGUUUUUCUCAAUACAGAAUCAUAGUCAGAUUUUUUAAUUCAAACGUCUCAUGCGCCCGUUAUCCACUUGAUCAGGAAAAUUAUUCACCGUGAAAUCGUGAAUAAUUGGAUUGAAUACCCAGAAAUUUCACCAGUUUAACUGAAAUGUGGUUCAAUAAUUAUCAAUUAAUUACAUCAUUUCAAUUUUGAAAACUGUUGAAAAAAACAUUCAAGCGUUAAUCCGUUAGAAGGGAUUCGAAAAUUAAUUUUUUUUUUUAUUUCAUGAUCUAUAAAAGCACAGAAGCUUGAGAUUUCGAAAAUUGUGCAAAUUCAUCUACUUGCGGCCAGGGCGUAUCCCUCAAAAAACGAAAAAUGUGAGAAAUCAAAUUUCCAAAGCGAGUUAAUUAAUGUGAAGUACAUAAAUUUAAAUUCGAUCCAAUUUUUCCAGUUCCCAAGGAAUAUACGCCCUUUAUCGUAGCAUUCUUAAGAAAUAAUUUUGCGGCAAUUAUGGUCGCAAAUAAAUUCGCUUAUUUCUUCCUAUGGCUAGAGUGCUGCCGACAAGACUUGAAAUUACACGCUGAUCGGGAUAAUUAUACGCCAUAAAAUUGAGGUGAAAAUUCAAAGCGUCAUUUUCUGCAGAUUUUCGAUGGCGUGAUGCAGUUUCUCAUUGCUGCAGGGGCACCAGCAGGUGGGCGUGUGUGAAAAUCUACUUAAAUUUUGCUAGACGGUUAUCCCUGCUGCUGCCGCUGCAGACACAGAACUUCGGUCAAGGUCGCGCAUUGUUUCACGUUUUAAUGCUUUCUACCCGGCAAGCAAGCCACUGCACCGUUUGCGUUCGUUCCAUGUAUCCAGACGGUCGUCGCUGGCGCGUCCCCCUUUCAUGCUUGCAGACCACGUUUCAAAAAACUGACCUUCAAAGGGUUGAGCCUUAUAACCCAUUUAUUGGGAGGAGUAAUGCUUGAAUUAAAAAACAUUUAUUUCAAUAAAGCAACGUUCAGAAAUUAUUCAAUUCAUCUUAAACAUUAUUGCAUUGUUUCUGCAUUAAUCAAUUUUUGAAAAUUAAUGGAACAAAGCAACAUUCAUUUCUCCUAUAUUUACAAUUAGUAGUAUUUUCGAAUGCCUAUCCAGUGACAAAUGAAAUAAAAUAUUUUCAAGUUGAUCGAACGGAGCACCCUAUAUUAAAUUCAUUGGUAUUAUACUAAUUUGCUACACAAACAACUUUUACUGUACAAUGUGGCUUUUGCAGUCGCCCAAUUCGACACCGUUAAUUGCUGCAUCCGCGCCGCUCCAUAAAACUAUCGCAUGAAAUUAUCGCGGCCGUUGAAGAAUUCUCCGUGCGAAAAUGUCUGCUCGAAGUUCUAUACGCAGUACUUCAUAGAGUUGAAUAAUAAAUACUAGUAACAAUUCAAGUAAAAUAAUUGAAAUAUUAUUCGCAAAACGCAUCGAGAAUUAAACUUAUACGGAUUAUUGUCGCUAGAUGACGAUCAUAUUCAUAUCUGCAGCGGAAGGUUUGUUGAUUUAAUACGGAGUCUCGUGUUGCAUCAAUAAUUACUGUAUAUAGGUAUAGAAUAUGAGUGUAUAUCUGUGUAAUGAUAAAUGAUAAUAAUGAUAGUAUCAAUUAAUAAAUUACGCAUCAAUGGCAGGUAACGAUCAUUUAUAUAAUCAGAGAAGAGCGGCAGAAAACUAAUUUUAGCGAUCUGAUAAUUCAAGAGGAAUUAUAUUCAACGUGAUUAGGUCCCUACAUAUAGAAAUUUAUUAGGAGUGAGAUAAAAACAAAGAUUGAUUGUUACUGUUAUUGAAUAUUUUUAUUACAUCAUUAAUUAUUUUUCAGGCGUAAACAUCAAGUAACUAUACAUGGUUUUUGUGAUCAGACUCGGCAUUAUUUUUGCUGCUCUUCGGCGCAGAUGAAUUUAUCAUCGACUUUCUGGCAGAGAGUGCCCGGUUCGCAUGAUGCCGUUUGCGGUACACCAAGUA